rnacentral:rRNA from 1 species
UACGGGGGGAGCAAGCGUUGUUCGGAUUUACUGGGCGUAAAGGGCGCGUAGGCGGUCAGCACAAGUCAGUUGUGAAAUCUCCGGGCUUAACUCGGAAAGGUCAACUGAUACUGUGCGACUAGAGUGCAGAAGGGGCAACUGGAAUUCUCGGUGUAGCGGUGAAAUGCAUAGAUAUCGAGAGGAACACCUGCGGCGAAGGCGGGUUGCUGGGCUGACACUGACGCUGAUGCGCGAAAGCCAGGGGAGCGAACGGG